UAUUGGACAAUGGGGGCAACCCUGAUCCAGCCAUGCCGAGUGUGUGAAGAAGGUCAUCGGAUUGUAAAGCACUUUAAGUUGGGAGGAAGGGCUUUAGGUUAGUAACCUGAAGUUUGGACGUUACCAACAGAAUAAGCACCGGCUAACUCUGUGCCAGCAGCCGCGGUAAUACAGAGGGUGCAAGCGUUAAUCGGAAUUACUGGGCGUAAAGCGCGCGUAGGUGGGUCAGUAAAAUGGGUGUGAAAUCCCCGGGGUUAACCUGGGAACUGCUUUCAUAACUGCUGAGCUAGAGUACGGUAGAGGGUAGUGGAAUUUCCUGUGUAGCGGUGAAAUGCGUAGAUAUAGGAAGGAACACCAGUGGCGAAGGCGACUACCUGGACUGAUACUGACACUGAGGUGCGAAAGCGUGGGGGGCAAAC
rnacentral:rRNA from 1 species